GCUUACGGCCACACCGGCCUGAGUACGCCUGAUCUCGUCCGAUCUCGGAACCUAAGCAGGGUCGGGCCUGGUUAGUACUUGGAUGGGAGACCGCCUGGGGAUACCAGGUGCUGUACGCU
ensembl:rRNA 5S_rRNA 5S ribosomal RNA